CGGGGGCCCAGGGUGGAGAGCACGAGGGCCUGGCCCAGGCACGGCCGGCGCCUCCGCCCUCGAGGAGGGCGUCACCUCAGCUCCCCCCGGCGGCGGAGCCGGCGGGCUCAGGCGGGCGCGGCUGAGGGGAGCGGACCGCGGGGGGCGGGAGAUGACUGCGCCCAAGGCCUUUGCGGGCCUCAGCCGGCCCCAGAGGAAGGGGAACCCGUCGAGCGGUUUGGUGCGUGUGAAGCGCGACAUGGCGAGGAAGCGGACAAGCCCGGGUGGCCCGGCGUGUAGAGGGAAGGGGGCGGGGCUAGACGCGGCCUGGACAACUACUAGAGCGCCUCGGGCUGUGCUGCUCGAGACUACAUUUCCCAGAGCGACGCGCGCGGAGCGGGCGGGAAAGAGAGCGUUUCGGGUCCAGUGCGCAGGUGCGAAAGCCAUCUUUGGUUAUAUAAGGGAGGUUCAGGAAGCCAUUCGUUCUUUCGCGUCUGCGGUGCUCGGAGUGUGGUACUUCUCCUAGUUGCAGUCAGGCUUCAUACGCUGUUGUCCUGCCCGUUAGAGCAGCCAGCGGGUACAGAAUGGAUUUUGGAAGAGGGAGUCACCACUGGACCUCCAAGGAAGCCACGUGCAGACAUCUACAACCUUCGAUCUCCUGACGAGUUUAUUGUUGGCCAAAACCAGGCUUUGAUUGAACCAGGAUGAAUGCGGGUGUUGGAAGUAGAAUAUAUAUAUACAUAUAAAAUUGAAACUGGCGAUGGAAUAUGAGAGGAGCCCUCUGGAAAGAAAAGGACAGACCCUGUGCUUUCAUGAAAGUGAAGAUCUGGCUGAACCAGUUCCACAAGGUUACUGUAUACAUAGCCUGAGUUUAAAAGGCUGUGCCCACUUCAAGAAUGUCAUUGUUAGACUUUGAAAUUUCUAACUGCCUACCUGCAUAAAGAAAAUAAAAUCUUUUAAAUCAAAA
rnacentral:sRNA from 1 species